UGGGGAAUAUUGGACAAUGGGCGAAAGCCUGAUCCAGCCAUGCCGCGUGGAUGAAGAAGGCCCUAGGGUUGUAAAGUCCUUUCGGUGGUGAAGAUAAUGACGGUAACCACAUAAGAAGCCCCGGCUAAUUUCGUGCCAGCAGCCGCGGUAAUACAGAGGGUGCGAGCGUUAAUCGGAAUUACUGGGCGUAAAGGGUGCGUAGGCGGUUAAAUAAGUUAGAUGUGAAAUCCCCGGGCUUAACCUGGGAAUUGCAUUUAAUACUGUAUGACUAGAGUAGAGUAGAGGGAAGUGGAAUUUCCGGUGUAGCGGUGAAAUGCGUAGAUAUCGGAAAGAACAUCAGUGGCGAAGGCGGCUUCCUGGACUCAUACUGACGCUGAGGUGCGAAAGCGUGGGGAGCAAACAGGAUUAGAUACCCUCGUAGUCCCUGAGCGGGCUGGCAAGGCGCAU
rnacentral:rRNA from 1 species